GACGAACGCUGGCGGCGUGCUUAACACAUGCAAGUCGAACGGAAAGGCCCUGCUUUUGUGGGGUUCUCGAGUGGCGAACGGGUGAGUAACACGUGAGUAACCUGCCCUUGACUUUGGGAUAACUUCAGGAAACUGGGGCUAAUAUCGGAUAGGAGCUCCUGCUGCAUGUUGUGGGUUGGAAAGUUUCGGCGGUUGGGGAUGUACUCGCGGCUUAUCAGCUUGUUGGUGGGGUAGUGGCUUACCAAGGCUUUGACGGGUAGCCGGCCUGAGAGGGUGAACGGGCACAAUGGGACUGAGAGACGGAGCAGACGCGUACGGGAGGCAGCAGUGGAGAAUAUUGCACAAUGGGCGGAAGCCAGAGACAGCGACGCCGGGUGCGGGAUGACGGCCUUCGGGUUGUAAACAGAUUUCGCCUGUGACGAAGCGUGAGUGACGGUAAUGGGUCAAGAAGCAACGGCUAACUACGUG
rnacentral:rRNA from 1 species